UAAAAUACCCAGAGCAAAUUGAUUUCGCGCCACAACCUUCAAGUAUUUGGCGCGAGAACCCUUUAUUCAGAGCCAAGGUAUAGCAAUCAACAAGGCUCCUUCCCCGCCGUACUUACCCUUCCCUCUGUCAGAUCCAGCCGAGUCCGCUCCAUCGUUGUUCCGGUCACCAGGCUCCUCCCUCAUCCGUGUAGCUCCCGUGCACGAAGGUGAAGUAGAAGGGGUCGUCGGAGUCUUCUCCUUCUGCUGUGCAUGCGUGUGAAGUCGUCGGCGUCAUCCCAAUCCAUCCGUCCCUGUGUCAUUCUUGGCAGCCUUCUCCCCUUUGGCGGUGCUUCGCGUUGCCGAUUGCAAUAGACUCCCCUCUCAGUGGUUCUCGGACGAGCGGGUAUAUCGGAGCUCUGAAAUAAUUUACUUGGGGUGUAUUCCUGUACCUGCAGCUGUGACAGGUAUUAUCAAUAGAGUAGAACCAAUAAGUCUUGCACAAAGUCUUUUGGGGAAUUUAUUAAGUAUUAAUUUUUAUAUUUUUAU